GUACACGCUGUGACUAGCAUAUCAAUAAGCGGAGGAAAAGAAACUAACAAGGAUUCCCCUAGUAACGGCGAGUGAAGCGGGAAGAGCUCAAAUUUGAAAUCUUAAAGGGUUUCCCUUUACGAAUUGUAGUUUAAAGAAGUGUCUUCUGUUGAGGUUUUGGUAAAAGUUCUUUGGAAUAGGACAUCAUAGAGGGUGAGAAUCCCGUAUUUGACCUUUACUUUCAACUUUGUGAUACACUUUCAAAGAGUCGGAUUGUUUGGGAAUGCAGUCCAAAAUGGGUGGUAAAUUUCAUCUAAAGCUAAAUAUUGGCGAGAGACCGAUAGCGAACAAGUACCGUGAGGGAAAGAUGAAAAGAACUUUGAAAAGAGAGUUAAACAGUACGUGAAAUUGUCAAAAGGGAAGCGUUUGACACCAGUGUUGUUUUUCCGAAAAUCAAUUAAAGAACUGUUUAUGCUAAGCUGUUUAGACUUUAUCAGCUAAUCUGUUUAGUUUUGAGCUUUUCUUUAAUGCACUUUUCAGUUAACAAGUCAACAUCAAUUUCUUUUGCUGUAAAAAAGCUUGAGGAAGGUGGCUUGAGAUUCGUCUUAAGUGUUUAUAGCCUCUUGCCUAUGCAGUCGGAGAGAUUGAGGUCUGCAGCGUAGAUCCUUCGGGGCUAAAUGCAUUUGUGCUAAGUUAUAGCAUUUUAUAGACAACUUGUUGACUAUGAUUUGUCUUGUAGCUUACUCGCUUAUGUUAUUUUACCUACGCUUAGGAUGUUGAGUCGUAGAGCACGCAG
rnacentral:rRNA from 1 species